AUUGAACGCUGGCGGCAUGCCUUACACAUGCAAGUCGAACGGUAACAGGUCUUAGGAUGCUGACGAGUGGCGAACGGGUGAGUAAUACAUCGGAACGUGCCUAGUAGUGGGGGAUAACUACUCGAAAGAGUGGCUAAUACCGCAUGAGAUCUACGGAUGAAAGCAGGGGAUCGCAAGACCUUGUGCUACUAGAGCGGAAGAUGGCAGAUUAGGUAGUUAGUGGGAUAAAAGCUUACCAAUCCGACGAUCUGUAGCUGGUCUGAGAGGACGAUCAGGCACACUGGGACUGAGACACGGCCCAGACUCCUACGGGAGGCAGCAGUGGGGAAUUUUGGACAGUGGGCGAAAGCCUGAUCCAGCAAUGCCGCGUGCAGGAUGAAGUCCUUCAGGUUGUAAACUGCUUUUGUACGGAACGAAAAGCCCCGGGUUAAUACCCUGGGGUCAUGACGGUACCGUAAGAAUAAGCACCGGCUAACUACGUGCCAGCCGCCGCCGUAA
rnacentral:rRNA from 1 species